rnacentral:lncRNA from 1 species
GAUGGAGGGAGUAUUCACUAGUUUCAGCUGACACCCACACUAUAGAUACUAGUCCAUCAACCCGUGCUCCCGCACGGGCUAAUUAAAAUCUAGUGUAUUUGAAAAUUAUUUCGAAAUUAAACUUCUAGCUAACAAUCAAAAUUGGUUACCUACUACUCUCUAAUUUUUUUAAUAUUUCAACAUAAUACUCGUAUAGAUGUGCACUUAUCUUUGUCCAAUUGUGAUUGAUUUUUAAUUAGUAAUUACUCUAUAUACUUUUUCAUCCACAUUUACACUCUUUUCAUUUUGUAUCGUACCUCCAUAUAUUGUGUUUAGCA